GCCGGGUGCCGGUGGCGUGUGCCUGUUAAUCCAAGUUACUUGGAGGCUGAGAUGGUUGUGGAUCGUUUGAGUUCAAUCUCUUGAGCUACAGUGGACUAUGUCGAUCGGGAGUGUCCAAUAAGUUCGGUAUCGAUAUGGUGCUUCCUGGGGAGGCCGGUACGUCCACCAGGUCGUCUUAAGGGGAGGGUGCACCGGCACCAGGUCGGAAACGGAGCAGGCAAAGCCCCCGUGCUGUCUCAGAUAGUGGGAUUCGCGCCUGUGAAUAGAGGCUUAGUGAAGCCUGAGGUAAUACAGCGGGACCCAGUCUUU
rnacentral:SRP_RNA from 1 species